GGUCCCCAAGAUCACGAAGUGAUAAAAGGGAGAGAUGUUGAUGCCGAAGACUACUGAUUGUUCUACGGUUCUGCAGCUGUUGUUUUGUUACCCCUUUGUUCUGCUGGAGUAGCUGGAAGUCUACUUUCACCCUGGAUGUAAUCCGUUUUGUUGGUUCCCUUAUGUCCGGGGGCUUUGAGGGAUUAGUUGAGAAUACUGUAGUUCGUCCUUUUCGGGUAGUAGUAAGCGUUGGUAUCUGGAUUUCUAAUCCUAUCUAAACUCAUUGUACGAACUGUAUUUCCGUUGAUGAAAUGGAAAUGGGGAAGAUCCCUCAUAUCGAAAAAAACUAGGCAUACUCAAUUGUAAGAACACACGUGCAUGAGUACCUCCGAUAAAUUGAGUCAGCAAAUCCUAAGAACACACGUACGUAAAUUCGAAAAUAAAUUUAGAAAAAUACAAGCACAUUACACCAUAAGAAAUCCAGCUGAUGUAUGAUUAUUUCGCGCGCGCUCUCUCUCUCUGAGUUGGUGUCCCUCUCCAGCUGAUAGACUGACGCCAAAUUGAACGGGCGUUUCCUUUGGCCUCGUUAUCUCCGCAAAAUUCCUUCGUCUCUUUCUAUAGAAACAAAAAAGAAAAAAGAAGAGAAAAUGAGCCCGGGUCAUCUUGACAAAUUGACCAUUCAGAAUAAAGCAUGUAUAUAUGCAAUCGUCAACUAUAUGU
rnacentral:lncRNA from 1 species